AGCAGAGGCAUAGUGGUUUCAGCAUUGGACUACAACUCUGGGGACCAGGGUUCAGAUCCCUGCUCGGCUA